rnacentral:ncRNA from 2 species
UUCUUAUUAAGAGAGGUGGAGGGACUGGCCCUUCGAAGCCUCAGCAACCUAAUGUGAUAUAAAGGUGCUAAAUCCUGUAGGAUAUAAAAGUCCUAAUAGAUAAGAA